AUGCCGCAGCUUAGCCUCCAGGCUUUGAGGACAACUUACUGGAGGAAUUUGAGUUCAUUAAGGUCAAAUUCCUUCCUCCCAACACCACUCCAGUCCUCCAGCCCAUGGAUCAGCAAGUCAUUUCAAACUUUAAAAGGCUUUACACCAAAGCACUAUUCAGCGAUGCUUCAUGUGACUGAGGGAACAAACCUCACCGUCCGAGAGUUUUGGAAAAAUCAUUUCCACACUGUGAAUUGCCCCAAGAUCAUCGAUAAAGCCUGGGAUGGGGGCACUGAGAGAACCCUCAGUUCUGCUUGGAGAAACCCGUGGCCUGGGUACAUUCUUGGACCUGACUUAGAGGGGCUUGCUCAUGAACAGCAGCCGCCAGUUGUCGAUGAAACUGUGUCCUUGGGGAAGACCAGGGGACUGGAGGUGAAUGAGGACGACAUUCAGGAACCGGUGGAGGAGCAUGGCCAGGAGCCGACCACCAACGAACUGAUGAAUCUGCAUCGCGAGCAAGAGCUAGAGGUUAUGGGGGAGAUCUCGUCUGCAGGGGAGGAGGAGAAAAAGGCCGAGGAAUCCCUCGCUUCAAAUGAGAUCAAGGAGAUGUAUAAAAUGCGGGAAACAGUGCAAAAUUCUGUAGAAAAGCACCACGCGAACAAGGCUGUAGCAGUGCGAGCAAUGAAUCUGUUUAACAAUGCAAUGUCACAUUUCCGCGAAAUCCUCAAAAGGAGGCAGAAGCAAGUGUCAUUGGAUAGGUUCCUUGUUAAAGGUGCACAAAAAGAAAAGGAUUCCACUGAGCCAACAGAUAGGGAUUCCAUUAGUGAGAGUGGAAGUAGUUCUCCCAAUAACCCUCCUCUCUCGUUUCCCUCACACCAGCCACGAAGAUUUUCAAAGGUAAGUGUUAGUUUACUUUUCUAUUUUGUAUUUUCUUUAUUAUUUUGUAUAUUACAGUAUUGUGAUCAUUUUUAUAUGAAUGCUUUGGGGUUGUGGAACAAAUCAGCUGAGUUUCCAUUAUUUCUCACGAGGAAAUUUGCUUUGAUAUACAAGUGUUUUGGAUUACAAGCAUGUUUCCAGAACGAAUUAUGUUUGCAAACCAAGCUUAUAGUUCUUUUUUAA
rnacentral:lncRNA from 1 species